rnacentral:rRNA from 1 species
GACGAACGCUGGCGGCGUGCUUAACACAUGCAAGUCGAACGAUGAACCCGGAGCUUGCUCCGGCGGAUUAGUGGCGAACGGGUGAGUAACACGUGAGUAACCUGCCCUUGACUCUGGGAUAACUGCUAGAAAUGGUAGCUAAUACCGGAUACGACCCUCGGUGGCAUCACCAGGGGGUGGAAAGAAUUUCGGUCAAGGAUGGACUCGCGGCCUAUCAGCUAGUUGGUGAGGUAACGGCGCACCAAGGCGACGACGGGUAGCCGGCCUGAGAGGGUGACCGGCCACACUGGGACUGAGAUACGGCCCAGACUCCUACGGGAGGCAGCAGUGGGGAAUAUUGCACAAUGGGCGCAAGCCUGAUGCAGCGACGCCGCGUGAGGGAUGACGGCCUUCGGGUUGUAAACCUCUUUCAGCACCGACGAAGCGCAAGUGACGGUAGGUGCAGAAGAAGGACCGGCCAACUACGUGCCAGCCGCCGCUGUAA